rnacentral:lncRNA from 1 species
CACCAAUGGAGUCAGGAGGGAAUAUUCAAUGUUCUUUGUGGUACAUUGUGUGGUAUUUUCUCUCUGACCUACAGUGGCAAGGGAAAA